GAUGAACGCUGGCGGCGUGCCUAAUACAUGCAAGUCGAGCGAACAGACGAGAGUGCUUGCACUCUCUGACGUUAGCGGCGGACGGGUGAGUAACACGUGGGUAACCUACCUAUAAGACUGGGAUAACUUCGGGAAACCGGAGCUAAUACCGGAUAAUAUUUAGCUUCGCAUGAAGCGAUAGUGAAAGACGGUUCUGCUGUCACUUAGAGAUGGACCCGCGGUGUAUUAGCUAGUUGGUGAGGUAACGGCUCACCAAGGUAACGAUACAUAGCCGAGCUGAGAGGGUGAUCGGCCACACUGGGACUGAGACACGGCCCAGACUCCUACGGGAGGAAGCAGUAGGGAAUCUUCCGCAAUGGACGAAAGUCUGACGGAGCAACGCCGCGUGAGUGAAGAAGGUUUUCGGAUCGUAAAACUCUGUUGUCAGGGAAGAACAAGUACGGGAGUAACUGCCCGUACCUUGACGGUACCUGGCCAGAAAGCCACGGCUAACUACGUGCCAGCCGCCGCAGUAACAC
rnacentral:rRNA from 1 species